UCUUGAAUGAAUCUCAACAAUCUUAUCAUUAUCCCCUAACCCAAUAGAUGUAAUCAAUUCCAAUGAAUCUUCCAGUCCAUUUUCUUCAUAAACACCUAAAAUCCUCUCAUCAUCUUGCAAUGUACCUAACUUCCAUAACUGUCCUUCAAUAUCAUAUAAUCUUUUUCUUUCUUUUCUUUUAAAAUCAUCAACUUUCUUAUACAUAAUAUUUCCAUUCUCCAAUAUACCAAUAAAACUCGCAUCAAAGGCACCUUCAUCUCGCGAGAGUACCUCCUCUUUUGUACCUCCAUAAUCUCGCUUUACAAUGGUACCUCCCCAAAAUCCUUAAAUCCUUCAACAAUCUUUGGCAAUGGUUUCUCCCUCAACCUAUCUCGAUUCCAUUCAUGGUUAGGAGGUACUGUUAGAAUUUGUAUAGCUUUCCUCCCAUCCUCGC
rnacentral:lncRNA from 1 species